UUUAGUGGUGAACACGGUGGUGCUGGGUUAUGGUUGGACUUUAUGACCUUAGAGGGCUUUUCCAACCUCAAUGAUUCUGUGAUUCUGUCUUCUCAAAGAAAUGUAAAGUCAGAGGUGCCCAAAGGAGCAGCCAAUGGAGAAAUUUGCAAAAACUCUGGUACAAAGUACUGAAAAAGAGGCUUCUUUGGAAGACAACUGCAGUAGUGGCCCAUGGAAAAGCCAAAACCCACAGUAAAAGUUGGCCUCCAGUCCUCACCCAGGGACUGCACCUGGAUCAGGAAGGAGGCACAGCAUCUCAUCUUUUCAGGGAUGAACACAACCUUCAGGCAAAGAGCCAGUGGAUGCAUGACAGAUGUAAAGAAUGCAACUUACACCU